CACGGAGGGUGCAAGCGUUAUCCGGAUUCACUGGGUUUAAAGGGUGCGUAGGUGGGUUGGUAAGUCAGUGGUGAAAUCUCCGUGCUUAACAUGGAAACUGCCAUUGAUACUACUGAUCUUGAAUUUUCUGGAGGUAAGCGGAAUAUGUCAUGUAGCGGUGAAAUGCUUAGAUAUGACAUAGAACACCAAUUGCGAAGGCAGCUUACUACAGGGACAUUGACACUGAGGCACGAAAGCGUGGGGAUCAAACAGG
rnacentral:rRNA from 1 species